GACGAACGCUGGCGGCGUGCUUAACACAUGCAAGUCGAACGGAAAGGCCUCUUUCGGGGGGUACUCGAGUGGCGAACGGGUGAGUAACACGUGAGUAACCUGCCCUUGACUUUGGGAUAACUUCAGUAAACUGGGGCUAAUACCGGAUAGGAGCUCCUGCUGCAUGGUGGGGGUUGGAAAGUUUCGGCGGUUGGGGAUGGACUCGCGGCUUAUCAGCUUGUUGGUGGGGUAGUGGCUUACCAAGGCUUUGACGGGUAGCCGGCCUGAGAGGGUGACCGGCCGCAUUGGGACUGGGAUACGGCCCAGACUCCUACGGGAGGCAGCAGUGGGGAAUAUUGCACAAUGGGUGGAAGCCUGAUGCAGCAACGCCGUGUGCGGGAUGACGGCCUUCGGGUUGGAAACCGCUUUCGCUCAUGACGAAGCUUUGUGUGACGGUAGUGGGUAAAGAAGCACCGGCUAACUACGUG
rnacentral:rRNA from 1 species